rnacentral:sRNA from 1 species
CCUAAAGAGGCUAAAACCAACAAAAAAUUGCUUAGAAGUAGUAAAUAGCUUUGUUAGUGUUUCUAUGGUCAAAAUGUGUCACAAUCCAAUGCAUUUGACUAAUUAUAAGAGAUAAAGAUGGAUUAGGAGUGUUUAGACAACACUUAUACCCAUUUUCUCCCAAAACAGGCUAAAACCAACAAAACAUUGCUUGAAGCAGUAAAUAGCUUUGUUAGUGUUCCUAUGGUCAAAAGGAGUCACAAUCCAAAGCCUUUGACUAAAUAUAAGAGUUAGAGAUGGAUUAAGAGUGUUUAGACAAUACUUAUACCCAUUUUUUCCUAAAAGAGACUAAAACCAACAAAAAUUUGUUUAAAAGCAGUAAAUAGCUUUGUUAGUGUUUCUAUGGUCAAAAUGUUUCACAAUCCAAAGCAUUUGACUAAUUAUAAGAGUUAUAGAUGGAUUAGGAGUGUUUAGACAUCACUUAUACCUAUUUUCUCCUAAGAGAGGCUAAAACCAAUAAAAAAUUGUUUAGAAGCAGUAAAUAGCUUUGUUAGUGUUUCCAUGGUCAAAAUGUAUCACGAUCCAAUGUAUUUGACUAAUU